GUGGGGAAUAUUGGGCAAUGGGCGAAAGCCUGACCCAGCAACGCCGCGUGAAGGAAGAAGGUCUUCGGAUCGUAAACUUCUAUCCUUGGUGAAGAUAAUGACGGUAGCCGAGAAGGAAGCCCCGGCUAACUACGUGCCAGCAGCCGCGGUAAUACGUAGGGGGCAAGCGUUGUCCGGAAUGAUUGGGCGUAAAGGGCGCGUAGGCGGCCUGGUAAGUCUGGAGUGAAAGGCCUGCUUGUAAGGUGUGAAUUGCUUGGGAUACUGUCGGGCUGGAGUGCAGGAGAGGUAAGUGGAAUUCCCGGUGUAGCGGUGAAAUGCGUAGAGAUCGGGAGGAACACCAGUGGCGAAGGCGACUUACUGGACUGUAACUGACGCUGAGGCGCGAAAGUGUGGGGAGCAAACAGGAUUAGAAACCCCUGUAGUCC
rnacentral:rRNA from 1 species